GGAGGGAUGGUCGAGUGGUUAAAGGCAGCAGACUGUAAAUCUGCCGACGGUUUCGUCUACGUAGGUUCGAAUCCUACUCCCUCCA
rnacentral:tRNA from 1 species